rnacentral:rRNA from 1 species
UACGGAGGGUGCAAACGUUGCUCGGAAUCAUUGGGCGUAAAGCGCACGUAGGCGGUCGGGCUAUGUCGGAUGUGAAAGCCUCGGGCUUAACCCGAGAAGGGCAUCCGAAACUGGCCGGCUUGAGUACGGAAGAGGGUCUCGGAAUUCCCGGUGUAGAGGUGAAAUUCGUAGAUAUCGGGAGGAACACCAGUGGCGAAGGCGGAGACCUGGGCCGAUACUGACGCUGAGGUGCGAAAGCGUGGGGAGCAAACAGG